AUUGAACGCUGGCGGCAUGCCUUACACAUGCAAGUCGAACGGUAGCGGGCCUUCGGGUGCCGACGAGUGGCGAACGGGUGAGUAAUGUAUCGGAACGUACCUUUCAGUGGGGGAUAACGUAGCGAAAGUUACGCUAAUACCGCAUAUUCUGUGAGCAGGAAAGCAGGGGAUCGCAAGACCUUGCGCUGAUUGAGCGGCCGAUAUCAGAUUAGCUAGUUGGUGAGGUAAAGGCUCACCAAGGCGACGAUCUGUAGCGGGUCUGAGAGGAUGAUCCGCCACACUGGAACUGAGACACGGUCCAGACUCCUACGGGAGGCAGCAGUGGGGAAUUUUGGACAAUGGGGGCAACCCUGAUCCAGCCAUGCCGCGUGAGUGAAGAAGGCCUUCGGGUUGUAAAGCUCUUUCAGCCGGGAAGAAAUCGCAUCAGCUAAUACCUGGUGUGGAUGACGGUACCGGAAUAAGAAGCACCGGCUAACUACGUGCCAGCCGCCGCCGUAAUAC
rnacentral:rRNA from 1 species